rnacentral:rRNA from 1 species
UACGGGAGGCAGCAGUGGGGAAUCUUGGACAAUGGGGGCAACCCUGAUCCAGCAAUGCCGCGUGGGUGAAGAAGGCCUUCGGGUUGUAAAGCCCUUUCGGCAGGGAAGAAAUCGUCCGGGCGAACAGUCCGGCCGGAUGACGGUACCCGCAGAAGAAGCACCGGCUAACUACGUGCCAGCAGCCGCGGUAAU